CCCCGCGUCGUCUCUAUGGCGGCCGCACAGCCGUCCCGGCCGCAGAGCGGGAUGAGCGCGCGCGGAGGCGCGGGGCUGGCGGCGCGGUCCCGGGAGGGCAGUCCCGGAGCGGGCGGCUUCGCCCCGUCGGCGCUCGGGACCCGAGAGCAUUGGGAUGCUGUGUAUGAGCGAGAACUGCACACUUUCCAAGAAUAUGGAGACACAGGAGAAAUCUGGUUUGGGGAGGAGAGUGUGAAUCGACUCCUAAGGUGGAUGCAGAGACACAAGAUCCCCUUGGAUGCUGCGGUGCUGGAUAUUGGAACCGGAAAUGGUGUCCUCCUGGUUGAGCUUGCAAAACUCGGUUUCUCUAAUAUUACUGGCAUUGAUUACUCACCUUCUGCAAUACAGCUUUCCGGAAGUAUUAUAGAGAAAGAAGGGUUAUCUAACAUUACGUUGAAGGUAGAAGACUUUCUGAAUCUUCCCACAGAGCUGUCUGGGUUUCACGUUUGUAUUGACAAAGGGACUUUCGAUGCCAUAAGCCUGAAUCCUGACAAUGCAAUUGAGAAGAGGAAGCAGUAUGUGAACUCUCUCUCCAGGGUCUUGAAAGUGAACGGCUUUUUUCUAAUAACCUCCUGUAAUUGGACCAAGGAAGAGCUGCUGAACGAAUUCUGUGAAGGAUUUGAACUCUUCGAAGUGCUGCCAACACCCAAGUUCAGCUUUGGAGGCCGGUCUGGAAACAGUGUGGCUGCAUUGGUUUUCCAAAGAACGUGAGACUUCUCCGGACGAACGCAGGGAGCUUUUAGAGAAGCCCCACAUCAAAGUAAAGCCGGCAGAAAAUGCAGGUGCAGCUAACUGCUCAGUCUGGAUGCCAAGUCAUUGUUUGCAGCGACAUCAAACAAGGGCACCGAACGCAGGUCCCAGUGGCGGCGCAGGUUCGAUGACAGCGGUGGAGUUGGGUUUGGUCUCUUACCAGCGCCCGGGAGCAGUGGGCUCAGGCUUUCGCGGUCGGUCCCACCUUGCGUCUACGUUUGACUUCCUUGGUCAGCUACAGGAUAUGCUCGUGCAAAGUAGGCAAGGCCGGUCCCUCUUGUAAACAGCCGUGGGUCCGGUGAAACGGAACAGCUUUGCUUUUUGUUCCUCUGGGAGAUUGACACACUGCCGAGGGGCGUUAGACACUCGCGGG